rnacentral:lncRNA from 1 species
CAGUUCCAUGCCCAGUAAGCAAGUAUUGCAACAUCGAAGGGGAAAACAGUCGAAACAACCUGGAGAAGAAACCUGUGAUGCCUGAAAUAGUUAUAGAAGACUGAGCUGUACAUGUAAAUGAGCUGACACUCACUACUCCUGAGAAGUAAUAAGGGAGAAAAUAAGGAUGCAGAAAAAGAUGAGCUAUGACAAUGAAAGACAAGUUCUAAACCUGCUAAUACUGAAGAUGAACUAAGCAUAUAUCUGGAGGCUGUGAAGAGCAGUAAUAAAGCAACUGAGAAUGAACUGAAACAACAUCUCCCAUGGUGGAGAAAACAUACAAACUAAUUACAGCAACGCAAGAAAAAAUGACAAGCCUAGAAAGUAGGUUAAGGGCAUUUAGUAUACAAAUAUUAUGGAUAGCUGAGGAAAUUUAAAAGUUCAAUGAUGUAACUCUCCUUUGAGAAAUAAUUGAACUCUUUUUCUUGAACUGGAAGAGAAUCACAUCAAAAGAGCAUCUAGACCUCUUGAAAAUAUCAUCAAAGAAGAAUAAAAAUGUACUUAGCUGUGUUAACAGAAAUAUUAAAAAAAUAAACAUGAAAACUAAUAGAAACGUGAAAUGUGGUUUAGGUAACUGAUACAAGCUUGUUACUUAAAAAUGCUUUUCUGCUAAUUUUAUAUGUGAGCUUAUGAAUACUCCAAUAAUCUCAAUAUUCCAAAGAGUAAUGGCAUAGUCCCUUUUUGCAUGUAGGAAGACACAGACACUCCGAAUGGGAGAAGGAAAAUUUACAGCAGAAGAUUUUUCAAAAUAUUCAUGAAGCAUUCUUUCCAACAGUUUGAAAAUCAUAGUGUGCAGUGAAAGAAAAUGUUGAAGGAAAUGAGUUGUGUUUGUGAAGGGCAUGAACCAGGAAACAACAACAGCAGUGAUGAAGAAUAGCUGGUUUUCAUAGAAGAAAAAAUAAGCAGUAAAUGAUCAUUAAAAGUACACAUUUUGGUAACUAUUAAUAUGCAAAUUAAUAGUUUUAAGAUAUAAUUAAAUUGACAAAAUAAGUUAAGAUUCAUGAUUUAAAAGCUGCUGUGUAUGUAGUUCAAUGAUAUUCAGAAGCCACAGGAAAAUGCAGUUUAAUUAUACCUAGAUUUUAAAUUCAUAUGUUUAUCUUUAUUCAAAUGUAUGUGUGUGGAUUCAUGUAUAUAUACACACACAUGUAUAUACACACAAGUACACACGUGGAGAAAGAGAUAUUUUCUGAUAACAAUAAGUAAACAGCCCUUUAACAACAUUUAAAUCCUAUUCUAGUGAUAUUUAUUUUUCUUGGCACUUUCCUAUUCUUUUCUUUAUGUAUGAGGCGUAAUCCUGAAAGUGAUGCUACAGAAAAGGAGGACAAAGACUUGGGAUGAAAAUAUCACAGGUGCUAAAAUUACUCUAGUUCUGUUUGGGCUCUGGCCACUCUGGCUUGACUUCAAAACAUGUUUCCUUGAGGCAAGUGUCCCUGAAAUGCUCCAGGAAAACUCUGGGGAUGGGUUAAAAUCAUACCCUUGAAACUCAUCUUAAUCAUGAAUGUUAUAUUUCCUAAGAAAAGGGAACAUGCUCGUGAAGGGAUCUUACAGGCGGUAGCGGAUUUAGAAACUUGCAAGUGAUAAAGCAAUAAACCCAGUUUUAGUUUAUGGUGAAUUCCAAACGGCAACAAGUUUGGAGAGAGGGCAAUUGAAAAAACUAAAUGAAAUUUAAUAGCUUCAUUUAUGAUACUAAAUCUAGUGCAGGGGACAUGAUAAAUGCAAAAGAUAAGAGGAAUUCCUACUCACUACUCUGACUAUAACUGCUAACAAUUUCUAGUUUAGAGCUCAUUUAAGACUUUGUGAAUUUUAGUCUUACAAAAGAUCUCCCAUAGUUUUAGAGUUUGAUUGAGAAAAUUAGCUAUGUGUUUUGACUAACUCCUCACUGAAAAAAAUGUCAUCCUUUGUGAAUUUAUUUCUGAGUUCCUGUUGUGGCUCAGCAGUUUAAGAACCUGACUAGUAUCCAUGAGGAUGAAGGUUUUUAUUUUAUUUUAUUUUUUUUGUCUUUUUCCAUUUCUUGGGCCGCUCCCUUGGCACAUGGAGUUUCCCAGGCUAGGGGUCCAAUCUACACCACAGCUCAUGGCAACGCCGGAUCGUUAACCCACUGGGCAAGGGCAGGGACCGAACCCGCAACCUCGUGGUUCCUAGUCCGAUUCGUUAACCACUGAGCCACGACGGGAACUCCCAGGAUGCAGGCUUUUGAUCCCUGCCUUGCUCAGGGGGUUAAGGAUCCAGUGUUGCUGCAAGCUGUGGCAUAGGUCACAGAUGUGGCUCAGAUCUAGCACGGCUGUAGGCCAGCAGCUGUGACUCCAAUUCAGCCCCUAGCCCAGGAACUUCCAUAUGCCACAGGUGCAGCCCU